AGCGGCGAACGGGUGAGUAACACGUGGGCAACCUGCCCUGCAGUUUGGGAUAACUUCGGGAAACCGGAGCUAAUACCGAAUAAUUCUCCUGAACGCAUGUUUAGGAGCUGAAAGAUGGCGCGAGCUAUCGCUGCAGGAUGGGCCCGCGGCGCAUUAGCUAGUUGGUGGGGUAAUGGCUCACCAAGGCGACGAUGCGUAGCCGACCUGAGAGGGUGAUCGGCCACACUGGGACUGAGACACGGCCCAGACUCCUACGGGAGGCAGCAGUAGGGAAUCUUCCGCAAUGGACGCAAGUCUGACGGAGCGACGCCGCGUGAGUGAAGAAGGCCUUCGGGUCGUAAAACUCUGUUGUUAGGGAAGAACAAGUACGAGAGUCACUGCUCGUACCUUGACGGUACCUAACGAGGAAGCCCCGGCUAACUACGUGCCAGCAGCCGCGGUAAUACGUAGGGGGCGAGCGUUGUCCGGAAUUAUUGGGCGUAAGCGCGCGCAGGCG
rnacentral:rRNA from 1 species